GGCACACAGUGGCUUAGUGGCUAGCACUGUUGCCUCAAACUCCCAGGGUUGGGGGUUCGAAUCCCACCUCUGCCC